UGACACAGUAACAGAGGGAUUGAGGCCCUGCUCAGUGAGUUUACAUGUUAGAGGGAGUGGGGUAUAAUGACACAGUAACAGAGGGAUUGAGGGCCUGCUCAGUGAGUUUACAUGUUAGAGGGAGUGGGGUAUAGUGACAGUAACAGAGGGAUUGAGGGCCCUGCUCAGUGAGUUUACAUGUUAGAGGGAGUGGGGUAUAGUGACACAGUAACAGAGGGAUUGAGGGCCUGCUCAGUGAGUUUACAUGUUAGAGGGAGUGGGGUAUAGCGACACAGUAACAGAGGGAUUGAGGGCCCUGCUCAGUGAGUUUACAUGUUAGAGGGAGUGGGGUAUAGUGACACAGUAACAGAGGGAUUGAGGGCCCUUCUCAGUGAGUUUACA